AGUAUGGAACAAAGGCUAUGAACGCCACGUCCUGUGGCAAUUCCUUUGUGCCCUACCUCCUGUAG
rnacentral:sRNA from 1 species